UCGAGCGAAUCUGAGGGAGCUUGCUCCCAACGAUUAGCGGCGGACGGGUGAGUAACACGUGGGUAACCUGCCUGUAAGAUUGGGAUAACUCCGGGAAACCGGAGCUAAUACCGGAUAACAUUUCGAACCGCAUGGUUCGAAAUUGAAAGACGGCUUCGGCUGUCACUUACAGAUGGACCCGCGGCGCAUUAGCUAGUUGGUGAGGUAACGGCUCACCAAGGCGACGAUGCGUAGCCGACCUGAGAGGGUGAUCGGCCACACUGGGACUGAGACACGGCCCAGACUCCUACGGGAGGCAGCAGUAGGGAAUCUUCCGCAAUGGACGAAAGUCUGACGGAGCAACGCCGCGUGAACGAUGAAGGCCUUCGGGUCGUAAAGUUCUGUUGUUAGGGAAGAACAAGUACCAGAGUAACUGCUGGUACCUUGACGGUACCUAACCAGAAAGCCACGGCUAACUACGUGCCAGCAGCCGCGGUAAUACGUAGGUGGCAAGCGUUGUCCGGAAUUAUUGGGCGUAAAGCGCGCGCAGGCGGUUUCUUAAGUCUGAUGUGAAAGCCCACGGCUCAACCGUGGAGGGUCAUUGGAAACUGGGAAACUUGAGUGCAGAAGAGGAGAGUGGAAUUCCACGUGUAGCGGUGAAAUGCGUAGAGAUGUGGAGGAACACCAGUGGCGAAAGCGACUCUCUGGUCUGUAACUGACGCUGAGGCGCGAAAGCGUGGGGAGCGAACAGGAUUAGAUACCCUGGUAGUCCACGCCGUAAACGAUGAGUGCUAAGUGUUAGAGGGUUU
rnacentral:rRNA from 2 species